UGAGUGAGUGUGUACGAACAGAUGGACUGCUGAGUGAUCUAAAACUGGCUUGCUCUCUCUCUCCCUCCCUCCCUCCCUCCGUCUUCACCGCUCCCCAUACCAGUUCGAGCAUUUAGAAGGCUACAAGACAUUUUCCUCUUUCCUUACCACCUUGUCAUUUUCUCUAUUAUCUCUUACCCCAGUUUCUUCUGUCAAGCCCCGCCCCUCCUGGUUUUGAAACCCUCUAUGGAGAGUGGUUUCUUGGCUUUCUCUCAUCUAGCCGAGAAGUUGGAGCUUUCUGCAUUGAGUUGAGCUCCUACUUUCCUGCUGAGACUCAGCAAGACAGAACUUGGCCGGAGGGUGCCUUGUGGUGGCCAGAGCCUAACCACACAGCCACCGAGUACAGCGCCCUUCCUCCCUGACACCAAGCAGAGAGAGCAUCCAGCAUUGGCAGCGCGCACCGCAGUCUCGGAGCAGUGCGGACUCUGCAGGCUGUCCAUCCCUUACCAAUGAGUCCAGCCAGGCUGCCAGGCAGAGAAGCGCAGAGGAGGAGCUGGGACAGGGGACAGGGAACAAUGCUUCCCAGAUGGAUUUGCUGCUCUUUUUCUCAGCUGUUGGGUUCCAAACCUGGGGUUCUGCUCCUGAAAGAUUCAACAUCCAGUGAGCUGACUAAUGAGGACACUGAGUUCCAAAGACCACUCGCCUCACAAAACGGAGGGACAAGCAGACAGGGUGCACUUCCUGAUGAGAGGACACAGCACCCUCCCACAAGCCAGCUGAGAAGAUCCACCUUCCGCUUCCUUCCACUUCUAGCAAUCAGUUUGCAGAAGACAGAGAGGCCAGAGAACGCCUUGUGAGAGUAACCUGCGGCGUCCACGUCCACACUGUGAGACACCGCACGGAACGUGCUACCCUGGCUUGUGUAACUCCAAGAGAAGGCUGCAAGAGGACCCCGAGUACAAGAGGCUGAUGGGAUGUGUCGAUUUUCUAUUUAAAGGAAAAGACCACACAAGAAAGUCGACCGUCACAGUAGGUGAUAAAGGAAAAUACGGAAAUCAUUACUUGGCAAAGAGAACCAUCCUUUUAUGGAGGAUGGAAGCUGUGACUGGGACAGGUUUCUGGCGGCUUCUGACAGAUGCGGCUGGCCACUCUGUUUCUCCUGUGUCAUUUCCUGUGUCUGUAUUUUAUUUCACAAAAGGAAGGCUUUAAAAGGUGACUGAGGUGGACUGGGGGUGUAACUCAGUGUUAGAGCAUUUUCUUAGCAGGUGUGAAGCUAUGGGGUUGGUCACUGAACACACGAACACACAUACACACACACACACACACACACACACACACACACACACACACAUGCACACACGCACUCAGAGGUUGUAUGCCUUAAAUACAUUCAAUGAAAGAGCUAGAGUAGAAAAGGCAACUUUUUUCUUCAAAGAGCUGAAUGUUGGCAUUCUGAAAUUCUAAAUCUGGAAAAUGCCAGCCAUUGUAAUUGUAAGAUUUACAAAGGGAGCAAAAAAAAAAAAAACCCGUGUUGUUCUGGAGGGCAGAGCCAGGCUACGCAGGGCUGGGAGUCUCCACUCCGCCACCUCCGUGCUGUGACAGAGGAAAUCCAGCUGUUCCAAUCCAUUUUUCCUCAUCUAGCAAGUGGAGCUGAUCAUAGUUCCUGCCUGUGGUGACAGAUAAAUGAGACACAUGCUACUCUGGUCUCAGAGCAGGCUGGCUCCAUACAAGUUGAUUAUAAUUAUUACUGUGAUUACAUUUGUUACUCUUCCUUACUUAUUUCCAAGGACAAGAAGGUUCCUUAUUGUCCUCUAUGCAUUUCUAAAAUUUCAUUAUUUGAUUUUGUGUGCUAGCAAAGGAAGAAAACCACCUUUAAUAGAAGAGCCCUUCCUUAUAUGGAAAUCAAUAAGGUCUUUAUGGGAAAAUUCCCAGAAUCCAUUCCAUUUCAUUAAGCUAAACUUUCCUAAAGACCUACUACACUGUUUGGUGGAUAUGGGCCUCUCACCAAGAUUCUCACUAAUCGGGUAUGAUAUAGUUCUGUUUUCAAAAGGUUACAAACUUCUAGGGAGGGUUGUGUUAUUUGACUGGUUUUCCCUCUAAGUUCAUGUUGAAACUUAAUUGCCUUAGUAAUAGCAGUAAGAUGGACACUUUUGAAAAGGGUUAGAUCCCAUGGGUGGCACCAGUGCCAGUAUAAAAAGGAAACUUCAGAAACU